AGCAACCUUGACCACCUCCUGUGACCACCUGGCCAGCUCUCGCCACCCAUCCUCAGCCCCAGGUGCCCCCCACCCCAGUGACAAACACCUCGGACCACCCAAGUUGCUCUCCUGCACCUUGGCAUUUUAUUUCCAAAUCUCAGGCAUAUAUACAGGAUAGUAAGGGAACUGUUAAAAAACGGAGCCAAAAUGGCCUGGCUGGAACAGCCGGUAGGCUAGUCUGAGCGGCAGGGACUUGCCGUCCUGCCCCCUGUAGUCCCUGGGCCAGGGGGCGGGGUCCUUCUGGCACCAUGUGGCCUGUGCACUGCGUUGACGCUGCCCAGCAGCCCCCAGGGCACAGGGGCCCACCCGGUGAGGGGCAGCGCCCCUGCUCAUCGACCUGCCCUUCCCCAUCCCGCUGGUUUUGUGGCGGUCCAGGUAGAGAUACGGCAGUCCUCGCUUCCCCAGAGGUCUGGCUGCGACAGGCAGACACCAGUCCUCUGUGUGACUACUGCGUGCUGACCCAGCCUAGAAGCCUCUGCUCGUGGCCGCCACGCUCAGAGGACCUGCUCCGUGCUGGACGCCGACAUGUCCAGGAGCCGCCAGGCCGCGUAGGGGUUGAGCUCGUCCUGGUCCCGACACAGUGCCCACACGUACAGCAUGCGCAGCACCUUGUCCUGCGGAGGCGUGGAAGUUGUUUGUGAGCUGGAAGCAGAAUAGAUCAGCCAAAAAAGGCUCUGGAUUACUCAACAGAAAUUCGCUACAGAAAAACUCAUGAAGACACAGGUCAGGGAGCGAGCAGGUGAGAACAGCUGUGAUGAGUUCAGCCAGUGCUUCAUGCGUCCUGGAGCGCUGCGUCUGCUCGCACUGUACCCACACGACGCGUGUGACAUGGCCAGGGGAUGGGAGGUGGCGCGCGCCCACCGCCGCCACGUGAGGCCCCUGCCUGUGGCCCCUGCUGAGGGAAGGUCACAGACACCCCCUCCCAAACUGUUCAUGGUCCCUUUCUGCCCAGCCCCUGACCCCCGGGGCCCCCCUACAGCCAGGACACCAGGCCCUGUCACCCCUUCCUGACUCUGCCCAAACAGACCUCCCAACCGAUUCUUUUUAGGCCUAAAUAAAAAAAGUAAAAAAAAAGGAAGUA